rnacentral:rRNA from 1 species
UACGGGGGGGGCAAGCGUUGUUCGGAAUUACUGGGCGUAAAGGGCGCGUAGGCGGUUGGAUAAGUCAGCUGUGAAAACCACGGGCUUAACUCGUGGCCUGCAGUUGAGACUGUCUGGCUUGAGUGUGGGAGAGGAGAGUGGAAUUCCUGGUGUAGCGGUGAAAUGCGUAGAUAUUUGGAGGAACACCAAUGGCGAAGGCAGCCCCCUGGGUUAACACUGACGCUCAUGCACGAAAGCGUGGGGAGCAAACAGG